UACGUAGGGUGCAAGCGUUACUCGGAAUUACUGGGCGUAAAGCGUGCGUAGGUGGCUCGUUAAGUCUGAUGUGAAAGCCCUGGGCUCAACCUGGGAAUGGCAUUGGAUACUGGCGACCUAGAGUGCGGUAGAGGGGUGUGGAAUUCCCGGUGUAGCAGUGAAAUGCGUAGAUAUCGGGAGGAACAUCUGUGGCGAAGGCGACACCCUGGACCAGCACUGACACUGAGGCACGAAAGCGUGGGGAGCAAACAGG
rnacentral:rRNA from 1 species